UACGUAGGGUGCAAGCGUUGUCCGGAAUUAUUGGGCGUAAAGAGCUCGUAGGCGGUGUGUCGCGUCGGCCGUGAAAACCUGCAGCUUAACUGUGGGCUUGCGGUCGAUACGGGCAUCACUGGAGUUCGGCAGGGGAGACUGGAAUUCCUGGUGUAGCGGUGAAAUGCGCAGAUAUCAGGAGGAACACCGGUGGCGAAGGCGGGUCUCUGGGCCGAUGACUGACGCUGAGGAGCGAAAGCGUGGGGAGCAAACAGG
rnacentral:rRNA from 1 species